AGUAGGAACAACCCCAGUGGCGACGGCAGCUCUGGAGCCCUGGCUUCAACCCCCACAAUAACUAUGGAGCUCUCCAUCUGCAGGGCCUGGAGGCUCGGGGCAGG
rnacentral:pre_miRNA from 1 species